rnacentral:rRNA from 1 species
CCUACGGGAGGCAGCAGUGAGGAAUAUUGGUCAAUGGCCGGAAGGCUGAACCAGCCAAGCCGCGUGAGGGAUGAAGGCGCAGAGCGUCGCAGACCUCUUUUGCCGGGGGACAAAAGGCCGGACGGGUCCGGUUCUGAGGGUACCCGGAGAAAAAGCAUCGGCAAACUCCGUGCCAGCAGCCGCGGUAAUACGGAGGAUGCGAGCGUUAUCCGGAUUCAUGGGGUUUAGAGGGUGCGCAGGGGGGACUUUAAGCCGGCGGGGAAAUCGCGGGGCUCAACCCCGCCGGGCCGUUGGAACUGGGGGACUUGAGUGCGGUGGAGGCAUGCGGAAUGCGCGGUGUAGCGGUGAAAUGCAUAGAUAUCGCGCAGAACCCCGAUUGCGAAGGCAGCGUGCCGUGCCGCCACUGACGCUGAGGCACGAAAGCGCGGGGAUCGAACAGGAUUAGAUACCCGAGUAGUC